CGUUGAAAUAUUGGUUCCUGUACAAUCACUGGAGUUAAGCAAUGUCGAGCUUGGUCAGUACCUAGAUGAGUGACCAUUUGGGAAUACCAGGUGCUGU